rnacentral:rRNA from 1 species
GAGGAAAAAAUUAUUAUUUUUAUUAGUGGGAGGAUGAUUACUUAAAAUAAAUAGAUUUUAUGUUGAAUUAUAAGUUAGAAAUAAUUAUUUUUAUAAUAGUUUAUUAGUACUGUGAAGGAAGUUAUUUUUUUUAUGUAAAAGAAGAUUUAAUUAGUUGUACCUUGUGUAUCAGGGCUUAUUAAUUACGAAUUUUAGAUAAAAUAAUCUCGAAUUUAGAAGAGCUAGUUGUUAAUAUAUUUUAUUGUAAAAUAAAUAUUUAUAAUUUGCAGCUUGCAGCGAGAUACUAUUCGUUUCUAAAUAUAUCUAGUUUUUUUAGAAACAAAUUUAAUUUGGCUUAUUUUAUAUAAUAUCUUAUAUUAAUAGGAGAUUAUAUGAAUAAGUUAAUAACCUAGGGGAUGAGCUUUAGGUUAAAUACUUAAAAAUUAAUAAAUUUAUUUAAAACAAAUAGGAUUAGAAGUGUUCAUUUCUUAGAGGAUGUUAUAAUUCUUUUUAUAAAGUUUUUAUUUAUAUAGGUUUUAAGUUUUCUAUAAAAAUGUUGAUUUUAACUUGGUUUGUCUAGUCAUUAUGAUAAAAUUAGUAUAUAAUUUUGUAUAAUAUAGGAUUAUUAAAAAGGUUAGCAAAAGGAAUUCGGCAAAAGCCUUUCCACCUGUUUAUUAAAAACAUGGCCUUUUGAUUAUAUUUAAGGUCUAGCCUGCCCACUGAUUAUUUGAAUGGCCGCGGUAAUUUGACCGUGCAAAGGUAGCAUAAUCAUUAGUUUUUUAAUUGAAAGCUGGAAUGAACGGCUGGAUGAGAAAGGAUCUGUCUCUUGCUAAUUUUAGUAGAAUUUUACUUUUAAGUAAGAAGGCUUAAAUAAUAUUAAAAGACGAGAAGACCCUAUAGAGUUUUAUAUUUUUUUUUUCUAAUAUUUUUUAGUAUCUUAAUUUUUAGUAAAAGAAAAUAUUUGGUUGGGGUGACUGAAAAAUUAAAUUAACUUUUUCUUUUAUUUUCACUGAUAUGUGUGUUUUUGAUCCGGGUUUUCUGAUUAUAAGAUAAAAUUACCUUAGGGAUAACAGCGUUAUUUCUUCUGAGAGUUCCAAUCGAAGGAGAAGUUUGCGACCUCGAUGUUGGAUUAAAAUGAAAUUUUGGUGUAGAAGCUAAAAGUUUAGGUCUGUUCGACCUUUAAAAUUUUACAUGAUCUGAGUUUAGACCGGCGUGAGCCAGGUUGGUUUCUAUCUUUAAUUAAUUAAAAUAUUUUAGUACGAAAGGACCAAAUAUUUAAUAUAAUAUUUAUUUUAGAAUAAAAUU